AUGGAAAAUUUAAAAUAAUUUUGAGAAGCCAUCAUCAUGUUUCACCCGUUCUAGAGCUCUACAAGAUUCAAUUGCGGCAUAAACUUGCAAGAUUGCUUGGCUAUGCUAUUUUGCUGGAUAUGCCACGGAUGUUAGAAUGCCCAGCUCAUCCUCAAAGCUACCUCACUUGUCUGUUAGAAUGCCCAGCUCAUCGCGAUUUUUCUUGUAGUGUGCUGCCGGCUACUUCACUACCAAUUCGACAAUACUUGAAAAUGCAGUUUCUGUGGGAUCGGAGCUGUAUGUCUUGACGGAUGGGGUUCGGGGAAGGGAACAAAGUUGCGGUGAGAUACUGCGACGGGUCAUCGUUCACCGGAGACGUUGAAAGCGUUGAUCCAACUACUGGCCUCCACUUUAGAGGUAGGUAGGAGGAUCUUUGACGCUUUAGUGGACGAUCUACUGGUGAACAGAGGAAUGAAGGAUGCCACGCCGCAUGUAUUCCUCACUGGCGACUCUGCAGGUGGGUUAUCUGUUAUAAUCCAUUGCGAUCGUUUCUCUAAGCGCUUCCCAAAUGCCAAUACAGUGAAGUGUCUAUUUGAUGGUGGCUUUUUCCUCCACUCCAAAGAUCCCGCCCGAGCUCAAGAGAUGGAAUCAAAGUUUCCAGGGGUAGUUGAUUUACACAACUCAACCGGCCUCCUACCUGAGGCUUGCAAAAACAAGAUGAAUGCAAAAACAAUACAGCAGCUUGAUCCAACCCAAUAGGGCAAUAGAUAAAUGCAUCUAUCAUCUAUCCUAUCUUUAAUUUCUUAUGUUGCGUUAAGUUUAUCGGAUCCCGUGUAUAAUAUAAUGAAAUGAUCAAUGCAAUUGGAAUUAUUGCAGUUUGUUUA